GCGCACCAGGCGCGAAAACUCCGCAAUGCCCGAAAGGGUGACGGGGGGAUUCCAAGUGCCUACGCUUAGCGUAGGCUGUUCAGGUGCCUAAAAAGCACCUGGAGGAAGGGCUGGGUAAGACGGGUGCCAUCUGCAGUGGUAACGAAAGGUUUGAUUUGCUACUGCAAGGCAUAAGCCGCCGCGGUAAUACCCGCAGCCCGAGUGGUAGUCGCUUUUAUUGGGCCUAAAGCGUUCGUAGCCGGUCUGGUAAAUGCCUGGGUAAAUCGUGGGGCUUAACCUCACGAAUUCCGGGUAGACUGCCAGACUUGGGGACCGGUUGAGGGAGAGGGUACUCCAGGGGUAGGGGUGAAAUCAGCAAGGUAAGCUGAUGUAACUUGCCUUUGCAAGUCACAAUCCUGUAAUCCUUGGAGGACCACCGGUGGCGAAAGCGCUCUCCUAGGACGGGUCCGACGGUGAGGGACGAGAGCCAGGGGAGCAAACCGGAUUAGAUACCCGCGUAGU
rnacentral:rRNA from 1 species